AGCUCAGUUGGUUAGAGUACGCGUCUGGGGGGCGUGAGGUCGCUAGUUCGAGUCUAGUC
rnacentral:tRNA from 1 species